AACAGGUGCUAAUACCGCAUAACCAUAGUUACCGCAUGGUAACUAUGUAAAAGGUGGCUAUGCUACCGCUUUUGGAUGGGCCCGCGACGCAUUAGCUAGUUGGUGGGGUAAAGGCUUACCAAGGCAAUGAUGCGUAGCCGAACUGAGAGGUUGAUCGGCCACAUUGGGACUGAGACACGGCCCAAACUCCUACGGGAGGCAGCAGUAGGGAAUCUUCCACAAUGGGCGAAAGCCUGAUGGAGCAACGCCGCGUGGGUGAAGAAGGUCUUCGGAUCGUAAAACCCUGUUGUUAGAGAAGAAAGUGCGUGUGAGUAACUGUUCACGUUUCGACGGUAUCUAACCAGAAAGCCACGGCUAACUACGUGCCAGCAGCCGCGGUAAUACGUAGGUGGCAAGCGUUAUCCGGAUUUAUUGGGCGUAAAGAGAACGCAGGCGGUCUUUUAAGUCUGAUGUGAAAGCC
rnacentral:rRNA from 1 species